rnacentral:rRNA from 1 species
UACGGAGGGUGCGAGCGUUGUCCGGAAUCAUUGGGCGUAAAGGGCGCGUAGGUGGCCUGGUAAGUCUGUGGUGAAAGCGCGGGGCUCAACCCUGCGUCGGCCGUGGAUACUGCUAGGCUUGAGCACUGUAGAGGCAGGCGGAAUUCCGGGUGUAGCGGUGGAAUGCGUAGAGAUCCGGAAGAACACCAGGGGCGAAGGCGGCCUGCUGGGCAGUUGCUGACACUGAGGCGCGACAGCGUGGGGAGCAAACAGG